rnacentral:rRNA from 1 species
CUACGGGGGGCAGCAGCUAAGAAUCUUCCACAAUGGACGCAAGUCUGAUGGAGCGACGCCGCGUGGGUGAUGAAGGCGGAAACGUUGUAAAGCCCUUUUAUAGGCGAGGAAUAAGAUUCGGAGGGAAUGCCGGGUCGAUGACGUUAGCCUAUGAAUAAGCCCCGGCUAAUUACGUGCCAGCAGCCGCGGUAACACGUAUGGGGCGAGCGUUGUUCGGAAUUAUUGGGCGUAAAGGGUACGCAGGCGGUUGUACAAGUCUGGUGUUAAAGCCCGCAGCUUAACUGCGGAAAGGCAUUGGAAACUGUAUAACUAGAGUUCUGGAGGGGUAGCUGGAAUUCCAGGUGUAGGGGUGAAAUCUGUAGAUAUCUGGAAGAACAUCAAUGGCGAAGGCAAGCUACUAGCCAUGAACUGACGCUGAGGUACGAAAGUGUGGGGAGCGAACAGGAUUAGAUACCCCGGUAGUC